ACCCAGGCCUGUCUGUCUUUAGAACGUGAAUCACAACCUCUGUGUGACUUUGUCUCCCCCAGCAGCACCCUCCUCUGACCUCUGCAGUUGGCUGUGGUUUAAAGAAAGAGAUGGAGAGUGUGUGUGCCUUGAAGUCAAUUAGACCUGGGCUGGAAUCUUGGCUUCAUCACUUACUAGCACUUAAGAAGAUAGAGAAACUGAGGCUCUGAGAGAUGAAAUACCUUGUCCAGCAUCACACAACUAGCAAAUGAUGGAUUUCUCAUAAGAUGGUUGUGAGGAUCAAAUGAAUCAGUAAAUUAUAUGAAAGCACUUAGAAGAGUGCUGGGCACAUAGUAUGUGCUCAGUAGACUUUUUGCUUCCAUUAUCAUCAUCAUCAUCAUCAUCACUAGUACCAUCAUUAUCACUAUCACUGUCACCGUCAUCAUCAUCAUCGUUGUCCUUAUCACCAUCCGCAUCAUCAUGCUCACCACCAUCAUUUACAUCAUCAUUGUUGCCAUCAUCUUUGUCAUCACCAUCAUCAAUGUUAUCACUGUCAUCCUCCUCCUCAUCGUCUGCCUCCCCGUGUGUGCUGUGAGCACAAAGCACAAUGUUGGGCACAGAGCUGCAAAGAAACUCGAGCAAGCUUCUUAAUCAGGUUAAGUAAUAAAUUAGGUUAAAUCCAACCAAUAAGGGGGAGGGGGAAGGAGUGGGAUGGACUGGAAAUUUGGGGUUAACAGAUGCAGACUAUUGCCUUUAGAAUGGAUUAGCAAUGAGAUCCUGCUCUAUAGCACUGGGAACGAUAUCUAGUGACUUAGGAUGGAGCAUGAUAAUGUGAGAAAAAGGAAUGUUUAUGUGUAUGUGUGACUGGUCACCUUGAUGUACAGUAGAAAAUUGAAUAAAAAAAAAAGGUGAAGUUGAAAGAUGAGUUUUGUUUGGUAGAUACACACAAACACACACACAAACCCUUACACCUGGGACAUUUUGUUUGGAAGAUACACACACAUGUGCGUGUGUACACGUGCACACACACACACACACAAACCCUUACACCUGGGACAUUUUCUUUGGCCAAAGAACACUGAAGCACCCAGAUUUGAGAAUGCCUUUGGGGAGAGAAAAAUAAGUCACUUGCAACCGUCCUGUGGAAUUUGUUCUCUCCUUCCAGUACAAGAAGGCAUAGGGAGCACAGCCACCAUCUUUGGCUUCUUGGCCACUCAUGGGGGAAGCUGCCAAGUGAAAUAACCUCUCUUGGGUCUUUAAUGGGCUACUUAAACAGAAGGGGCCUUGUCCAGGGUGUUUUAUUUAUUUAUUGUUAGCACCACUGCCAACCAAGUUUAUACAGAGUUGCUACAGGUCAAGCUCUGGGCAAAACCAAAGAAGCCCUCUCUGGCUGCCUUUCGGCUCACCCAGGGAGGUGGCCUCUUGAUGACUUCUCCAUCCAUUCCUCCAUCCCUGAUUCCACAAAGUUUACCAGCCCCACAUCUUGCUCCCCUUCCCAUGCUGCCUUCGAAUUAAUUCUUUAAAGCCAGUGACACCAAGGUGAUAAUGAAUUUAUGUGCAGACAUUUGCAUGUGUGUGUGGGGGGGGUCUUCCUGAAUUUCUAGGGCCUGGGUGGGUGGGAACUGAAGAGAGUAGAAAGUAGAAUUUCAAAGAAGGGAAGUAAUUUUAGCACUGUUCAAACUGUUAUACAGGAAGCCUCCCACUCCCAGUUCACACUGGCCCUGCAAAGUUGACAUUUCUGCUGAGACCUGUAGACAACUCAAUUGUGUAAUUCUAGGCUCUCAACAGAACUAGGGGAAUUCCCUAGAACAUGCUGAACUAGGACAUUCAUUCAACAUAUUCUAUUGAGCAUCUGCUCUAUACCAGGCACACUUUUAGAUAAUGAGGUAAAGGAGAGAAUGAAAUGAAACCCUAGUUUUCUGUAUAUUACAUGAUAAGUAAGUAGGAACUUGAAAUUCUGCCUGGAAAUUUAAGGAGCAUCAUUCUUUUUCAGCUAGUGUUUACUGAGCCCAGCCCUAUUUUAAAUACUUACCAAAAUUUUACAACAUAAUUACUGCAACAACCCCACUACGCACAUUAUCCCCAUUUGACAGAUAAGAAAAUUAAGGCACAGUGAGGCUGACAAACUUGCCCCAAGUCAUUCACUAAGAAACAGGGAGAACUGUGACUUAAACCCAGGAACCUAAGGCUGUAGAAGUACAUGGAGGGGCAUCCAACCUAGUCUUGCAGUGAGAAAUCAAGCUAUGAUAUGAGAGAUGUGUAGGGAAUGCCUGGUGAAGGCGAUGGGGGCAGGAGGAAAGGACACUUGGGGGAGACAUGGAGAUAGUGGCCUGGGGAAGGGUAAAUGACCUACUUGAAGACUCUAGGUUAAAGUGGUAGGGCAUGAUCUAGCCCCAGGACUUCUGACUCCAGGCCUAUGUUUCUGCUCCUU